UGGUGUGUUUUCUUGCUCUUUAUGAGGAAUAACACAAACGCUUUUUUAUCUCAAAAUGAUGUAAGGCACAAAAUCAUUUGAAACUCAUCCCUCUGGAGUUAAAAACAAAGAUAACACCACCCUCCAGAGCAGGGUUAUUAUAGGUCAAUAAAACUAGGUGCAAAAAACAUUUUAGUUUGUGAAAAUAAAAUUCAAGACUCGGCUCUGGGAAAACAGCAUAACCAGCAUGAGUCUGCGUUGGUGCUGAUGUUUUUUGAGACUGGGACGGCGACCUGACUGGGAGUCAGCCGCCUUCACAAAGUGUCGGCUUUGAAUUGGAAGACCUAUUCCGAAUUUCUCAUAUCUUGCCACACAUAUUACAAAAACACAACCUAAAACUAAUACUGAAACUACUAAAAACUUCUCUGGAAACUA